AUUGAACGCUGGCGGCAGGCCUAACACAUGCAAGUCGAGCGCAAAAGUUCUUCGGAAUGAGUAGAGCGGCGGACGGGUGAGUAACGCGUGGGAAUCUGCCCAGUAGUGGGGGACAACGUCUCGAAAGGGACGCUAAUACCGCAUACGCCCUACGGGGGAAAGGGGGGGAUCUUCGGACCUCUCGCUAUUGGAUGAGCCCGCGUCGGAUUAGCUAGUUGGUAGGGUAAAGGCCUACCAAGGCGACGAUCCGUAACUGGUCUGAGAGGAUGAUCAGGCACACUGGAACUGAGACACGGUCCAGACUCCUACGUGAGGCAGCAGUGGGGAAUAUUGGACAAUGGGCGAAAGCCUGAUCCAGCCAUGCCGCGUGUGUGAAGAAGGUUUUCGGAUCGUAAAACUCUGUUGUUAGAGAAGAACAAGGAUGAGAGUAACUGUUCAUCCCUUGACGGUACCUGGAGAAAAAGCCCCGGCUAACUUCGUGCCAGCCGCCGCAGUAA
rnacentral:rRNA from 1 species